rnacentral:rRNA from 1 species
CAGUAGCCGCGGUAAUACGUAGGGUGCGAGCGUUAAUCGGAAUUACUGGGCGUAAAGCGUGCGCAGGCGGUUUUGUAAGACAGAGGUGAAAUCCCCGGGCUCAACCUGGGAACUGCCUUUGUGACUGCAAGGCUAGAGUACGGCAGAGGGGGAUGGAAUUCCGCGUGUAGCAGUGAAAUGCGUAGAUAUGCGGAGGAACACCGAUGGCGAAGGCAAUCCCCUGGGCCUGUACUGACGCUCAUGCACGAAAGCGUGGGGAGCAAACAGGAUUAGAUACCCGCGUAGUCCCUGUCUCUUAUAC